rnacentral:tRNA from 1 species
AAAGAAUUAGUUAAAAAAUAACAUUAAUAUGUCAUAUUAAAAUCAUUUAUUAUUAAAUAUUCUUUU